AAGGGCCCGGCCUCUCCCGCAGCGGCUGGGGCAGAGGGCCGAAGCGGCGGGCUGCGUUCAGCCGUCCCUGGGCAGGCGGGAGCCGGUGUAGAUCAGCACCGACGUGUGACAAGCUGCGCGUAUCCUGUUAAGGAGAUUUAUAUAUGUAGUUCAUGAAGGCAAUCAUCUGGCUGGUAAUCUCUCAUUGUGCACCGCUCCAAGGCAGUUCGUUCACACAACUGGCUGCAAAACGAAGAUAUUAGUAUCUCUCCCGGGAAAUGUCUGUGGCAAAUGUGUGUGUUGUGUGUGCGUUGCAGCUAAACAGCUGUGAUACUGGUGCGUAAUGAGAUAGCAGCACAUUACUCAUAGCUCCAGGAGAGGACGUGGAAGUAAAUUAAGAAAUCAGCAUAACUCACACAGCUUUUGACCCAUCACUAACAGCACCAGCAGCGCAUGGGAGUAGGACAUGGCGCGGCUGCAGUUCAUCCAUCAGCAUAUCAAGGGCUGCACAACAACUCUGCCACAGCCUAAUUGUCUCACGUCCACAGGGCUCAGGAAGCUUUUCCCAAAACAGGGGAUAUGGGGACUUUGGUGCAUUCUCACUUUUCUGUGGAAGAAGUCAUCUGAGUGUGAAGUCAGGGUGAUGGAGAAAGAGGACUGUUCCCACCCUCUGCUCACCACAGUACCUGGUUGAGGGAAGUCACGGCAAACCUGGGGAUAACCAGCUGCAUGACGAGCUGCAGGACAGAGGUGACCAGUCCAGCCAGGAUGGCCCAGGUGAGUGGCAACGGGAGCAUGCUGUAGGUGGCAAAAAGCGUGAAAAGCACAUAGCCAAUGCCAUCCCCAAGGAGGCCACAGCCCAGUCCUGCCGCCAGAAUUUGCAUGGCCAUGGCCACCCAAGUGACAACACCGCUGUACUGCAGGUAGGUGUAUGAGGUCGUGUCCUUCCUGACCACCACUAAGGCACAGAUCACCACCUCAAUACCAGUGAAGAAGCCCAAGAGGAUGCCCUUAAUGGGGUCCAUGGGAGCAGAGGCCAGGGUCAAGUGGAGGAACAGUAGGGUCAGCUUGGUCAGCACGUCCAGGAUGUUCAUGACCACCUCAGAUUUGCGCCGUUGACCCAAGAAGUAGCGCUGGUAAAGGCGCUCUAAGUCCCGAGACUUAAAGGAGUUGCGGAGAGUGGGGAAGAUCACCCCGCGAUAUGUAUAGCCCCAGUUGAGGAAGAAGUCGGAGUUGCUGGGGGCACAGUCCAGGGGCAGAAAGCCCAAGUCUCCGCUGCUGCUUGUGCCCUCCGGGAAGACUUUGGUGCCGCCGUUGUUGUGGCGCUCGCUGCCCAAACUCCGUCCGGCCGACUGCCGCCGGAGGUGGUGGUGGUG
rnacentral:lncRNA from 1 species